rnacentral:rRNA from 1 species
AUUGAACGCUGGCGGCAUGCCUUACACAUGCAAGUCGAACGGCAGCACGGGGCAACCUGGUGGCGAGUGGCGAACGGGUGAGUAAUGCAUCGGAACGUGCCAUUGAGUGGGGGAUAACGUAGCGAAAGUUGCGCUAAUACCGCAUAUUCUGUGAGCAGGAAAGCAGGGGACCGCAAGGCCUUGCGCUCUUUGAGCGGCCGAUGUCAGAUUAGCUAGUUGGUGAGGUAACGGCUUACCAAGGCGACGAUCUGUAGCGGGUCUGAGAGGAUGAUCCGCCACACUGGAACUGAGACACGGUCCAGACUCCUACGGAGGCAGCAGUGGGGAAUUUUGGACAAUGGGCGCAAGCCUGAUCCAGCCAUGCCGCGUGAGUGAAGAA